GUUGAGGUUAGCAUAAUGGUAAAUGCCCCUGACUGUGAAUCAGGUAGAUAAGGUUCAAAUCCUUGCCUCACCC
rnacentral:tRNA from 1 species